AACGAACGCUGGCGGCAUGCCUAACACAUGCAAGUCGAACGAGAUCUUCGGGUCUAGUGGCGCACGGGUGCGUAACGCGUGCGAAUCUGCCCUUUGGUUCGGAAUAACAGUUAGAAACGACUGCUAAUACCGGUUGAUGACGAAAGUCCAAAGAUUUAUCGCCAGAGGAUGAGCCCGCGUAGGAUUAGCUAGUUGGUGUGGUAAAGGCGCACCAAGGCGACGAUCCUUAGCUGGUCUGAGAGGAUGAUCAGCCACACUGGGACUGAGACACGGCCCAGACUCCUACGGGAGGCAGCAGUGGGGAAUAUUGGAAAAUGGGCGAAAGCAUGAUCAAGCAAUGCCGCGUGAGUGAUGAAGGCCUUAGGGUUGUAAAGCUCUUUUACCCGGGAUGAUAAUGACAGUACCGGGAGAAUAAGCUCCGGCUAACUCCGUGCCAGCCGCCGCCGUAA
rnacentral:rRNA from 1 species